GAUGAAGAACGUAGCGAAAUGCGAUAAGUAGUGUGAAUUGCAGAAUUCAGUGAAUCAUCGAAUCUUUGAACGCACAUUGCGCCUCCUGGUAUUCCGGGAGGCAUGCCUGUUCGAGCGUCAUUAAAAUCACUCAAGCUUAGGUUUGCCUAUUGCUUGGUCUUGAAGAUGGAAGCUAAGUAAUUAGAAUCCUCUUCGAAAUCCAAUGGCGAAGACCCUUGCUCUCCCAAGUGUAGUAAUAACUUAUUCACUGAAGGAAGCGAGUAAUCUUCCGCCGUAACCCCCAUAUUUUCUAUGAUUGACCUCGGAUCAGGUAGGGAUACCCGCUGAACUUAAGCAUAUCAAUAAGCGGAAGA
rnacentral:misc_RNA from 1 species